UACGGGGGGAGCAAGCGUUGUUCGGAUUUACUGGGCGUAAAGGGCGCGUAGGCGGCCACCGCAAGUCGACUGUGAAAUCUCCGGGCUUAACCCGGAAAGGUCAGCCGAUACUGCGGGGCUAGAGUGCAGAAGGGGCAACUGGAAUUCUCGGUGUAGCGGUGAAAUGCGUAGAUAUCGAGAGGAACACCUGCGGCGAAGGCGGGUUGCUGGGCUGAUACUGACGCUGAGGCGCGAAAGCGUGGGGAGCAAACAGG
rnacentral:rRNA from 1 species